rnacentral:rRNA from 1 species
AUUGAACGCUAGCGGGAUGCUUUACACAUGCACGUCGAACGAGUGGCGGACGGGUGAGUAAUAUAUCGGAACGUGCCCAGUAGCGGGGGAUAACUACUCGAAAGAGUGGCUAAUACCGCAUAGCAUUGCAGCGGCCGAUAGCGGAUUAGCUAGUUGGGGGGGUAAAGGCUCACCAAGGCAACGAUCCGUGGCUGGUUUGAGAGGACGACCAGCCACACUGGGAAUGAGCAACGGCCCAGACUCCUACGGGAGGCAGAAGUGGGGAAUGUUGGACAAUGGGGGAAACCCUGAUCCAGCCAUCCCGCGUGUAUGAGAAGGCCUUCGGGUUGUAAAGUACUUUUGGCAGAGAAGCGGUAUCUGCAGAAUAAGCACCGGCUAACUACGUGCCAGCCGCCGCGGUAAUUC